AGUGGGAUAGCUGGGUCAAAUGGUGGUUCCAUUCCCAGUUUUCCAACGAAUUGCCACACUACUUUCCAGAUUGGCUGCACCAAUUUGCAGUCCCAUCAGCAAU
rnacentral:pre_miRNA from 1 species